rnacentral:rRNA from 1 species
UGCGUAGGCGGAAUAUUAAGUCAGUGGUGAAAUCCUGCGGCUCAACCGUAGAACUGCCAUUGAUACUGAUAUUCUUGAAUGUAGUUGAGGUAGGCGGAAUGUGUAAUGUAGCGGUGAAAUGCUUAGAUAUUACACAGAACACCGAUUGCGAAGGCAGCUUACUAAACUAUGAUUGACGCUGAGGCACGAAAGUGUGGGGAGCGAACAGGAUUAGAUACCCUGGUAGUCC